UACGUAGGGUGCGAGCGUUAAUCGGAAUUACUGGGCGUAAAGCGUGCGCAGGCGGCUUCGCAAGUCAGACGUGAAAUCCCCGGGCUUAACCUGGGAAUGGCGUUUGAAACUACGGAGCUGGAGUGUGGCAGAGGGAGGUAGAAUUCCACGUGUAGCGGUGAAAUGCGUAGAUAUGUGGAGGAAUACCGAUGGCGAAGACAGCCUCCUGGGCCAACACUGACGCUCAUGCACGAAAGCGUGGGGAGCAAACAGG
rnacentral:rRNA from 1 species